AAUAUGUAUUAGGUUGGACUGUCUGGCUGAGGGAGCAGGAGCAGCUCCCCUGCACAGGGAAAGCUCCCACACUGAGACACUGCCUUGGGUCGCACUCCUCAGUAAAGUCUGAAAUGCAACGUUUCUUUAAAAAGAAAUAAAAAUAAGGGCUGAGAAAGGAUUAAAAAGCCUGAAGGAUUUUGUAACAGUUAUUGCUUAUAAUUCUUAAGCACCAGGGGAAAUGAGAAUUAAUAGUUACCUUAAAAAUCAAGUUCUGUAUUUAGUAACUAAGUAAAUUAAUCUGAGAAAAAAAAUCUACUUUGUUAAGUGAAAUAUCGGUCAGUAUGAUUUCAUCUGUUUGUAAUGCCUGGGUGCUUUUGAAUUUAAUUUAUUCAGUUUAUGAAAAAAAGGUGGUUUUAAUCACUGGCAGCAGCACAGAUUUAAAAUGAGGUCUGAGGAACAAACACGGGUUUUCUUAAGCAUUUUCAGAAAUGGUUUUAAACAAUUUAGGUCUUGAAGGUCAUUCUUGUUCCUGUUUUUGUCUGUGAAGUUCAGAUAGCCUCAGAUGUAGCCCCCAGUGACGGUUGUGGAAUCCCCACUAAGUUUUUUUAUUGGAUAGAUGUGGAAAAGGGAGAGAAUAGGUUUGUGCCCCUUGAAAUUUAGUUGACAGUUCAACCACCUGUGAUGUGAGAUCUUGCAAAAAACCUCCAUUACUUUUUCAGAAUGGCAUUGACUUCACUAUGUUCAGAAUAACAAUAAAAAAAUAAUACAGAUCUAUUUUUAUUACUAAAAUAAUUCUAUAUAUGUAGGCAGAGAGCUUUUGCUCAAAAAUACGUUCUUCUGAUACCAUAGUGUUCAAAUUAAGGCUAUUUCUUUGAAGUUCACUGUUGCAUCUUGGAGAAAUGUCUUGUCUAGAUGCAAAGUUGCUUUUUUACAGCUUUGCUGUAAUUCUCUUUUCCUAUGUUAUUUUAUUAAUGGGAUUUUUAUGUGGAUAAUAUCUCAAGACUUCCUUUGCUUCUGCUGUUUAUUCGUCACUUGAAGUCGUAAUAAUUUGUUUCUAAAACCACAGCCGGCUGCUAUAAAGGCAGAGGGAGGAAGACCAUGAUUUAUGUGGUGAAUGAGAAACAAGAACAGAAGAAUGUAAUAAAUGUUUGUUACUUAAAACUUCAGAUAUUGUUAUGAAAAAGGUAGCAUAAAAAUUAAAUAGGCAGUAUAUCAGCAGGAUCUUUCCGAAACAGAGUUCUGUUAUUUUUUUUCAUGAGUACUUAUGUCUCUUAAAAAUAGCACUAAAUAUCUGAUAAACUUACAAGAGUAAUGAAAUUCAAACUUAAAAACUGCAAAUUGAUCUUUAAAUGACAAUACUGGCACCUCAUAAGAGUGUUCUGGUUCACAGUUAACUUUUCUCUCUGCCUUGAGACAUCUGAGAGUGUUAUAGGUUUGGUGGAGUACAUUUGUAUUUCACUAUUUAUUUCAACAAUGUUAGUUGCUCUUUUUCUCCUCUGUCUGCAUGAGUCUUCCAUACAGUCACAGGAGAGAAAAGAAAUAGUUGUAGGGGUAAGAAAAAGUGACUAAAUUAAAUUACUUUUGGGACUAUGGGCUGUAUGUAGUGCAUGAAACUACUUAAAGCUACUUUUUAGCUUCUUUGGCACUGGGAUAUUUAAUACAGGUUUGGUCUGCGUGAAGAGUUUUAUUUUAUAAAAAUCAGAAUGGAGCAGGAGAAAGAUGUGAAAUGGAGAAAGAGAAAAGAAGGAGCAGACUCAGAAAACUUAGCUUUCCAUUGUGUAAACAAAAUAAGGUUUUUUAAUCUGCCAUGUAACAAACAAACAGUAAUUCUUCUAGUCACUAAUACAAAAACUAUAUACAAGUGGGGAUUUAAAAUUUUUGUGUACAAGUCAAACCAAAUGCUUUAUUUGCCUUUAAUCUUUGUGUUUUGGGGUAGCAAUUCUAGAACAAAUAUUGCUGUACAUAUACAAAUAUGAAUGCUUCUGAGCCAGUUUUAGAGGCAUAUCAUCCAGCUGGAGAUGAAAGGCACAAACUUUAGCAAUCCCUAUUUUUUUCCUGAUACUUUCUACUAUUCAUAAAUGUUGGUUCUGACUGUAGAUCCAUAGCAUAGAUAUUUUAAAUCAAGUUUUAUAUUAGUAGUGAAAAUAUUAGCAUUAGGAGUUCUUGACAAUCACAAGCAGAAUAUAUUGUUUCUGACAAUUUCAAAUGCAUAUGCUCAAGACAGGGAAGGAUGAGUGAAUUUAUGUUUUAUUUUUCCUUUAGGCAAAAAUCCCUUUCAUGACCAAGGAAGGAGGGAACAACAUUUUUACAGUCCUGUGAAGCGCCUGUUACUAGAAAUGAUUUUCACUUUGUUCCUGAAAAGUAUGCCAAGUUUACUGGUGUGUGCUGGUGAUGUUACAAAUAGAUGCAGGUGUGGCAGGAGAGAGCAUGAGCUUUCCAGUGGAACAUGUGACAGCAGGGACCUGUUCCAGUUUGAAGUCUGUGAAAUGAUGGGAAGCUGUCCUGCAGCCUGUGAGAAGGGUGCUUUCCUAGCAUCAAAGUGAGGACACGGAAAUCAAGUGGAUGAAAUCUGAAUUCCAAGCUUUCAAGUAAAGAGAAACAAAGACAGUUGUUUGAGACCUAAGAAACCAGGAAGAGAGCUUCAGAUUACGCAGCGUGGAGCAGAUGUCUAGACAUAUCUACUUACCCUAGGGGCUACAGCUGAUGACCCUACCCCUAAAACCAGCAUUCUUGUAGUCAUUACUUCAGAUCUCAAUCCUACAAUUCACUACCUGAAUCAUCAGCUUCAGUUCUACUACGACAAAAGUAUCCACACUAUUCCCAGUCAGAAUUCAUAGCAACCAUCAUCAUUGCUAAAAAUCUUUGAGAGGACAUGUACCUUUGAGAAGAAUAUCACUUCCUAAUUUUUUAUGCAACAGGUUUCCCAUGCAGCAGCACAAAUAUACCUGGACUUUGUCUGAACAAGCAUCAGUGGAAAUGACUACUCUAAGCUAAUUUUGCUCUUCCACAAACAAAACUCCAGGGGAACUGGGGUCAUCAACAUGUUUAUAAUGAGUCCUGAAUGACUUUUCAUUAUAUUGAAACUGGAUUACAUUACAUUAACUUCACAAUCAUUACUAUCAUUAAUUUUUACUUUAGCUAAAAUCAAUACAUAUAUCCCAUAUUGGCAAUAGAUGUGUUUGAUAUUAUAAUAUGAUGACUUCACAACAGAGAGUUGCCCUGGAAUAAACAUUACAUGAAAAGGCCACACAUCAAAGCACGUUUACAUACCAAUUGUAGUCUUCAGGGAGAACUGAGAAUGUAGAUUUAUGGCAAGCAUGAUACACAGCUCCAUCUGCAAUAAAAACCCAAGUAAAGAACUCUGAUGUAGAAACAAGCAGAGCUGUACCAAAUUAAGAAUGUUUACAUUUUCAAUUUUCAUUCUUUUUCAAGUCUUAUUCAGGGAUAAUAAUCAUAUUCAGUUUUAGAUUAACAUAACCCAAACACUGUCUAAAUAGAAGUUCAUUUUAGUACACAGCUUUCUAGCAGUGCAAUAAAUAAAAAAAAAAACCAAACCAGUAUGCAGGCAGCUACAACCUAUACUUACCUUCCUAGCUGUAUUGUUUUCCUGAGUAAAAUCACUGUAUGAAUAAAAUACCUACAGAAUUCAACAUUAGGAAAUAUCUUUUAUAUAUGUAAAGAACAUUACCUUUUAACUUAGAGGGAAGAUCAUAAUUUCAAUCACAGAAGCAAUAUUUAUUAUAAAGAUCAAAAGGAGGGGGCUCUGACUGGAUACGUAGAGAAAUGUUUUCCUCAUGAGGACAGCCAGCCAGGGAGAUUGAGACCCAGGCAGGUUUGUGAGUUCUCUGUCCUUGGAGAUUUCAAAGACUCCACAAGCCCUGAGCAACCUGAUGUGACUGCAGAGCUGACCCUGCUUUGAGCAGGAGCUUGGAUCACAGACCACUCAAAGUCCCUUCCUCAUGGUUUGAUUCCUAUUUUUUUAAUAGAAUAACUUAGGUUGGAAAAGACUUUUAAGAUCAUAGAGUCCAAACACAAGCCUAAUAUAAGGUGUUCAAUAGCCCCUCACAUGGGAAUCAUCCUGUAGGCAUUACCUUCCACAACAAUGCAGGUAUGCACACCUCAGGUGGGUGUGGGACAUGCCUGGAGCUGAUUUCCACUAAGAACCCACUUCCUUUAUUGACAGAACAUGACACAAAUCCACAUGGAAGUUUCUGUGUCCAGUGAAGCUUUCUCAACAACUAUGAUUUUAGAACAGAACUGUGAUCACAAGAAACAAGUCUUCACAUGUUCUGAGCUUGCUCUUAAGUCAUAAAAAGGCAUCAACUUUAUCUGGCAUUAUUUAAUUUAGACCAUCUUUUAAUACAAAUAGAAUUCUUCAUGGAUGCUCCUAGCAGAGCAAGAGAGCAUUCAUUGUGUCAAGACUGCAAAGGCUGAAAAAAACAGGAAGAAACUUUUGUUUGUAGCUAUUUUCCUCUCAGAAAUAUUUUAGAUGAAAAUUCUUAAAAUUCAGAGUUACUGUUAGCACUUUCACUCUUCAGUUCUUCUAAUGAAACUGUUCUUAGGUAUUAAGCAGUAAAGUUUUGGCAAGUUAUAUGUAUUUCUUCCUAAUUUUUUUUUCCCUUCCUUGCCAACCUACCUCUAAAAUGUAAAAUAUCUAUUCUAUUUUCUCCACUACUGUCUUUUGUACCACUUUUACUAUCUUCCUAUGUCUUCCUAUUGAUGUCUAAAAUAUAGACAAAAAUCUAAGAAACAGUACUGUCUGUUUCUAUUUGUUCUCUGUUUGUAUUAGGUAAUGAGAAUUUACUAUAGCCUUUUCUCAGCACUUUUCUAAGUCUGAAAAAAUAAAUUUAAAUCUUCAAUCAUAA